AGUGCACGCCGCGCGGAGGACGAAGAGGCUGCACGCACAGCCGCUGCCGGGGGUCGGGGCCAAGUGCGCGCCUCGCCGAGGACGAAGAGGCUGGCGUGCCCGGUGGCUCGGCUAGCUCCCGGGUCCCGGCCCCGCCUGGAGGAUGCGGCUGUGGGGGAAUGGGAGCGGCCGGACCUCCCAGCCUGACAGUGCAUCAAGAGCUUUGCGGAGCCUACAGCCCGGAUGGGACGACUGAGGCCCUCCCGCUGGCGAGCUGGCCGAGGGCUCGUCCCUCUCCAGCUAAAGCGCCAGCUUACGAUACAGCCAAACUGCCGGCUCUCAUCGGCUGUGGGAGCAGGAGGCCCCCAGGGGUAAAUCCCGGAGCCUCGUCUCUGAAGCCUGGCGCUUGUGUCUCAGAAGGUGCGGGACCCACAGGGACACUUGAAUCAGCAGGCUCACGACCCCCCACCCCCCUGCCCCCGCCUGUGUUUGCCCUGGACCUCCAGCUAGGGCUGACCACUAAUUCUGUCAUGUGACCCCACAGUGCAGGUAGCUCCCCCAAGACCAAGCCCAAGGCGCGUCCGUGUGGAGGCUGGGGCUGACGCACCCCCACCCCAGGCCUCAUCCCCAAAGGAGGAUGCUCCACUGCAGGGGGCGGAGUCUUCUCCAGAUGGAGAAAGACUUUUUUAUUUUCUCUGAAUUCGUCUUAAAUUAGGAAAUCAUGUGGGAAUUGGAAAAGAUUGGAAAUUCUGACUUGUUUCCCAGGCUCUGAAGAAACAGGAAGAGAAAAGUGAAAAUAGAGUUAGCACCCCGCCCACUCAUUUCAGUUUCUCCAGUGGCUGGCCCUGAUUAGAAAAGUGUUUACUUUUGGCAGGGGGCGGGGGAGGCCGACUUCAGGUGACAGAAUGGAUUAAUUAAAAUCUUUGGUUAAUGAUAUACAAUUAUCAUUGAACCUUGCAUGGAUCCUCUUCUUAAAAUUCAUGUAUAUUUAUAACUUUUAAAUUAAUACGAUAAACACCCAUGUACCCAUUGCAAAACUCAAGGGGCCACCACCAUCCAGAAUUCUGUAUUGUAUUGUAUUGUAUUGUAUUGUAUUGUAUUGUAUUGUAUUGUAUUUAUUUAUUUAUUUAUUUUUUGAGACACGGUCUGUCUCUGUCGCCCAGGCUGGAGUGCAGUGGCACAAUCUCUGCUCACUGCAGCCUCUACCUCCUGGGCUCAAGCAAUCCUCCCACUUCAGCCUCUUGCAUAGCUGGGACUACGGGAGCACACCACCAUGCCCGGCUAAGUUUUUGUAUUUUUUGUAAAGAAGUGGUUUAACCUUGUUGUCCAGGCUAGUCUUGAACUCCUGAGCUCAACUUUCCUCCCCGCUUGGCCUCACAAAGUGCUGGGAUUACAGGCGUGAGCCACCACGCUGGGCCAGAAUUCUGUAUUUUUUAAAUUAAUUAAUUAAUUAAUUUAUUGUAAAUAGAGAUGGGUCUCACUGUGUUGCCCAGGCUGGUCUCAAACUCCUGGGCUCAAGCGAUCCUCCCACCUCAGCCUCCCAAAGUGGGAUUACAGGCAUGAGCCACCACACCUGGCCCAGAAUUCUGUAUUUUAAAGAAAAAAAAAGUUAUAUCUGCAUGCCUACACAAUAUAUCUUUUGGUUUUCCUUAGUUUUGAACUUUUUUUUUUUUUUUUUUGAGACAAAGUCUCACUCUGUCGCGCAGGCUGGAAUGCAGUGGCAUUCUGCUUACUGCAACCUCUGCCUCCUAGGUUCAAGCGAUUCUCCUGCCUCAGCCUCCUGAGUAGCUGGGAUUAAAGGGGCCAACCACCACGCCCAGCUAAUUUUUGUAUUUUUUUAGUAGAGACGGGGUUUCACCAUGUUGGCCAGGCUGGUCUCGAACUCCUGACCUCAGGUGAUUCGCCAGCCUCUGCCUCCCAAAGUGCUGAGAUUACAGGUGUGAGCCACCGCACCCAGCCAGUUUUGAACUUUUAUGAAGAGGGCAUCAUAUGAUUUGUUGUCCUUUGUUACUUGCUUUUUUCACUCAACCUGUUACUAUGAUUCAUGUUUCACAGUUAAUUCACUUUUUCACUGCUGUAUACUAUUUUGUUGUGUAAAUAUACCACAGUUUGUUUAUUCAUCCUGAAGAUAGGCAUUUUUAUUUUUAUUUUUUUGAGAUGGAGUUCCUCUCUUGUGGCCCAGGCUGGAGUGCAAUAGCACCAUCUCGGCUCACUGCAACCUCUGCCUCCCAGGUUCAAGUGAUUCUCCUGCCUUAGCCUCCUGAGUAGCUAGGAUUACAGAUUUAUAGGAGCAUUGUGACUGGACCAAGGACAAAGAAGUUCCCAACCUCCUCAGACCCUCGCUGCUGCCCAGAUGUCUGCCAUGGGGUGGCCAUCAUCGAAUCCACUGAGGGCGCAAAUAGAACAAAAAGGUGAAGAAAAGGUGAAUUCUCUCCUUUCUUGAGCUGGGACAUCCAACUUCUCAGACAUCAGAGCUCCUGGAGGCCUUCAGACUCCGAGACAUUACACCAUUGGCUCACCUGGUCCUCAGGUCUUUGGACUUGGAAUGAAUUACACCAUUGGCUUUCCAGGUCUUCCAGCUUGCAGAUGGCAGAUUGUGGGACUUUUCAGCCUCCAUAACUUUGUCAUCCAAUUCCCAUAAUAAAUCGC
ensembl:lncRNA RELA-DT RELA divergent transcript